rnacentral:lncRNA from 1 species
CCUUAAGACCCAAGCAAAGCAGGCACUGUGCUCUGACUGCCGUCUUCCUGGUUCCCCUUCCCUCUCCUGCCCUGACUUUGCAGCUGCCUCUCUGCAACAAGAGAGGAGUCAAGAGGACCACUCAGUUUAGAGAAGAAGUUAGAGGAAGAAGAACACUUGGGCUGAUGGCUUGUGCUCUACAAGUGGAGAAGGGCAAGCAGGGAAAAAAGCGCAGCUCCUGGCCACACUGGGGCCCAGAGCAGCCAACAGCGAGGCCGAGGUUUGAAGAGCAGAGGCCGACCAGCGCGGCCAGACCUUUGCCCAGCCCUGCCUGUUUAUUGCCGAGAACUUGCUGGAAGGGGACAGAAGAUAAGACUCGGGGUGACUCCCAAGGCCUGAAGGGGGCUGAUUGGGCCGCGGGCUCCCAGAGGAUAAACCUAGGGGCCGGUCGGUCUUCCUCGGCGUGGAAGUGAGAGCCACGCGGCGUGGCGGAGCUCCACCACUGUCUCCUUAUCUCUUUAAAGCCUCAAAAUCAAACAAAACCACUACUACCCAGGCCUCAAGUUUCCGUAGUUUUUGUCUGCUCUGGACCGUUUACUUUUUUUGAAAAAAGAGAACUUGGUGGAAUCCAAAUUCUCUACUAGGCCUCCGAACCAAAACGAAGGAAAAUCCGUUUUCAUCUUGGGC